rnacentral:rRNA from 4 species
UGGGGAAUAUUGCACAAUGGGCGAAAGCCUGAUGCAGCGACGCCGCGUGAGGGAUGACGGCCUUCGGGUUGUAAACCUCUUUCAGUAGGGAAGAAGCGAAAGUGACGGUACCUGCAGAAGAAGCGCCGGCUAACUACGUG